AGAGGGCUGCGGCGUGGGACUUCCAUGGAAGGAAGGUCCGGCAGCAGGGCCUUGUGGGGUUGGUGGGGUGAUCUAGGGGAAGCCGGAGAGAGGACCAGGGCCCAGCGGAGCAGCUGAAGACUUCCUGGGGGUUGGGGCCGGCAGUGCUGGGGCUGGCGGCAGGGGCUGGGGGGAAUGGGCAGGCAGGAUAGAGUGCGGGGCCGCACUGGAGGGAGUUAGAGCUGCUGGCCCGGUGACAGAAGGCUGGGGGUUGGUAUCGUUUCGGUUCUUACCAAGGAGGAGGAGGAGGAGGGUGGCCAACAGCAUCCUGGGCUGUCCAGAGGUGCCGGAAGGGUCCCGGAGCUUCUGUGGUCUACCCGAUGGGGUCGCGGCGGAGCCCCGGGCGCCCAGGCUCCCUGGUGCCGCCUCCCCAGGGGGGCUCCAUGGCCCGGGCUCGACCCGUACUCUGGAUGCCAGGGCUGGGGGCGGGGAGGCGGCGGCAGCCCGGGAGUAGGGGCGGUGCCUUUCGCCAACUUUGGAGUUGUUUUCUCCGUCCGCCGCCGCACUCUUCUCUCCCGGGGCCGGCUCCUGAAGCCCCGGGUCUCGGCACUGGGGCGCGCCCUCGCCUACAGCCCGCCCGCAGGCAGCGAGCGCCCCUGGUCUGGCCUGGUCGCCACCUGCCGGGGUUUGAGACCACUUCCUCUUCGGGCCAAACUUUGCCGACUGUCAGCCCCCAGGGCCGGCCGGGUGCUGCUCCACUCCUCCAGCGCGUCCAGCCAGCGGAGCGCGACAGGGAAGCGGGGGAGGGGAAGAGGUGGCUCGGCCCGGCGCCCCGGCCCUUGCCCAGGCGGUACCCCCGCCCGCCCAGGGGUUGGAGUAGCCGGGGCGGGUGACAAGCCCGGUCCCACCCCUGCCAAUCAACGCACGGGCCACACCCACUUGCUCGCCUUAACCCCUUUCCCGGCCCUGCCGGACUUGUCAGACGGGCCCUUGACUUGCAGCUUCAGCUUCCACAUUUAACCCUGCUUUGUUUAAUCCUUGGGGUGUAACACGUUUGUCGUUACAGGACAUGUUUGUCAUAUGUUUGUCACACGUUUGUCAAAGGACGUCUGCUUAUUCCAUAACUGUGAUGUCUUUCCUUUGGGCCCUAAGCUCUCAGUACUUUUCUUGUCCCAGGGUCUGAGAUCCGGCAGCACUUUUCGGAGUGAGACUUUAUUACAGCUAUUACCACACGGUACGGUAACUAUUUAUUCGUCAUUCCCGCCCCCGCCCCGCCCCUUCUCUGCAAACUGAAACUUCCCGUAGGCUGGGGCCUAGACUGUUUACCUUUGCACCUACAGGGCUUCUCUCCUGCUGAGACACAGGAAGAACUCAAUAAAUGGUAAAUAAAUGAAUAAGUACGCCUUCUCCAUUUGCUGGCUGUGACCUCCAGGAAAUUACUUAACCUCUCUGUUCUCCUCAGGUAUAAAAUGAGGCUUAUGAUAGUGCAACUUCCUCUUAAGGUUGUUGCUAACAUUUAAGGAGAGCAAGUUCCCUGACAUACAGGAAGUGCUCCAUAUCUGGUAGCAACUAUUAUUAUCAGUCACAGAAGGUGUUUCUAAUUUGUGUGAGCUGGAGGUUACCGAUUUCCUGUGGCACUGAUAGAUAACAUUAAUAAACAAUAUUGAAGCUCAGAAUUUUCAGUGAAAAAAUAAACACAACAAAUAGCAAACAAUUUUAGAUUUUUCCACUUUUCAGGCACAGAUCUAAGUAAGCACUUUACUAAAUACUUAGGAACUAUUUUAGUAUAUACUAAAUACAUUAACACUUUACAAGCAUUUGCGGGUUUAAUCCUCUAAACAACCCUGUGAGGUACAUACUAUUAUUACUUCCAAUUUCCAAGGUAUUCCGAGAAAUGCAGGCACAGAAAAGUUAAGUAUUUUGCCCAAGAUCUAGUACAGUGGGCCCUCCAUAUCUUGGGUUCUGCAUUCGCAGAUUUAACUGAUCGUAGAUGGAAAAUAUUAUCAGGGGUGGGGUUGGGGGAAUUGAGUGGAAUUGCAUCUGUUUUUUUUUGUUUGUUUGUUUGUUUUUUGAGACGGAGUCUUGCUCUGUCGCCUAGGCUGGAGUGCAGUGGCGUGAUCUCUCACUGCAACCUCCACCUCGCGCCUCCCGGGUUCAAGCAGUUCUCCUGCCUCAGCCACCCGAGUAGCUGGGAUUACAGGCGCCCGCUGCCACCAUGCCCGGCUAAUUUUUGUAUUUUGAGUAGAGACGGGUUUCAUCAUGUUGGCCAGGCUGGUCUCGAACACCUGACCUCAGGUGAUCCACCCGCCUCGGCCCCCCAAAGUGCUGGGAUUACAGGCGUGAGCCACCACGCCCAGCCGCAUCUGUUUUGAAUAUGUACAUAAUUUAUUUCCCUGUCAUUAUUCCCUAAACAAUAAAGUAUAUUGACUAUUCCUAUAUGUAUAUUUGAGACAGAGUCUUGCUCAGGCUGCAGUGCAGUGGUGCGAUCUCGGCUCACUGCAACUUCUGCCUCCCGGGUUCAAGCGAUUCUCCCACCUCAGCUCCCCCGCCCCCUCCCCCCCAAGUAGCUGGGAUUACAGGUGCGCGCCGCAACGCCUAGCUAAUUUUUGUAUUUUUAGUAGAGACCAGGUUUCACCAUGUUGGUCAGGCUGGUCACGAACUCCUGACCUCAGGUGAUCCGCCCGCCUUGGCCUCCCAAAGUGCUGGGAUUAACAAGUGUGAGCCACUGCGCCCGGCCAUGAAGCUAGGGUUUGAACCCAGGGAAUCUGGCUCUGGACAGAGUGCACAUUCUGAUCUUAACCACUUUCUCCCCUCUACAAAUGAUAUAAAAUAGUUUUUUGUUUUGUUUUGUUUUGUUUUGUUUUUUCUGAGACAGAGUUUCACUUUUGUUGCCCAGGCUGGAGUUUAGUGACGCAAUCUCGGCUCACUGCAACCUUCACCUCCCAGGUUCAAGCGAUUCUUAUGCCUCAGCCUCCCGAGUAGCUUGGAUUACAGGCAUGUGCCACCACGCCGGGCUAAUUUUUGUGUUUUUAGUAGAGACGGGGUUUCACCAUGUUGGUCAGGCUGGUCACGAACUCCUGACCUCAGGUGAUCUACCCGCCUUGGCCACCCAAAGUGCUGGGAUUACAGGCGUGAGCCAUUGCGCCCGGCAAUUUUAAUUUUUAAUUUUAAUUAAUUUAUUUUUUGAGACAGGGUCUCACUCUACAAAAUUGUGUAGUUGCACAAUUUUGGCUUAUUGCAACCUCAACCUCCUGGGCUCAGGUGAUCUUCGCACCUCAGCCUCCUGAGUACUACAGGCGUGUGUCACCAUGCCGGGCUAAUUUUCAUAUCUUUUUUUUUUGAGACGGAGUCUUGCUCUGUCGCCCAGGCUGGAGUGCAGUGGCGCGAUCUUGGCUCACUGCAACCUCAGCCUCCUGGGUUCAAGCGAUUCUCCUGCCUCAGCCUCCCAAGUAUCUGAGACUAAGGCACAUGCCACCAUGGCAGCUAAUUUUUUGUAUUUUUAGUAGAGACGGGGUUUCACUGUGUUAGCCAGGAUGGUCUCAAUCUCCUGACCUUGUGAUCCGUCCACCUCGGCUUCCCAAAGUGCUGGGAUUACAGGCAUGAGCCACUGUGCCUGGCCUAAUUUUUGUAUCUUUUGUGGAGAUGGGGUUUACCAUGUUACCCAGGCUGGUCUUCAACACCUGGGCCAAGUGAUCCUCCUGCUUCGGUCUCCCAAAGUGCUAGAAUUAUAGGCAUGAGACACUCCACUCAGCCUAUUUAUUUAUUUGUUUAUAUUUAAUUUUUUUUUUUGAGACAGUCUCACUUCACUGCCCAGGCUAGAGUGCAGUGGCACAAUGUUAGCUCACUGUAACCUCCACCUUCCUGGCUCAAGUGAUUCUCAGCCUCCCAAGUAGCUGGGAUUACAGGCGCCUGCCACCAUGCCUGGAUAAUUUUUGUAUUUUUAGUAGAGACACGGUUUUUGCCAUGUUGACCAGGCUGGUCUUGAACUCCUUACCUCAAGUGAUCCACCUGCCUUGACCUCCCAAAGUGCAGAGAUUACAGGCAUGAACCACUGCAUUCAGCCCUAUUAUUUUUAUUUGAUUUGAUUUGAGAUGGAGUUUUGCUCUUGUUGCCCAGACUGGAGUGCAGUGCACGACCUCAGCUCACCAGAACCUCCGCCUUCCAGGUUCAAGCAAUUCUCCUGCCUCAGCCUCCCAAGUAGUUGGGAUUACAGCCAUGUGCCACCACGCCCUCCUGGCUAAUUUUUGUAUUUUUAGUAGAGACAGGGUUUCUCCAUGUUGGUCAGGCUGGUCUCGAACUCCCGACUUUAGGUGAUCUGCCUGCCUCAGCCUCCCAAAUUGCUGGGAUUAUAGGUGUGAGGCACUGCGCCUGGCCGGCCCUAUUAUUUUAUUUUUAUUUUUAUUUUUUUAUUUUUUUGAGCGGAGUCUUGCUCCGUCGCCCAGGCGGGAGUGCAGUGGCGCAAUCUCGGCUCACUGCAAGCUCCGCCUCCCGGGUUCACGCCAUUCUCCUGCCUCAGCCUCCCGAGUAGCUGGGACUACAGGCGCCCGCCAUCAGGCCCGGCUAAUUUUUUUGUAUUUUUAGUAGAGAUGGGGUUUCACCGUGUUAGCCAGGAUGGUCUCGAUCUCCUGACCUCGUGAUCCACCCGCCUCGGCCUCCCAAAGUGCUGGGAUUACAAGCGUGAGCCACCGCGCCCGGCCCCGGCCCUAUUAUUUUUAAAGGCUAAUCAAAUAAGCAGUGGGAGUGGAAAAGGAACAAAGAAAUCUGUAACUGAUUGUGAUCAACUAGUUGUGAACACCACUGUAACAAGCCAGCCAGAAGUUUUCUUUUUUGUUUGUUUGAUUGUUUUUUGCUUUUUUUUGAGACAGGGUCUCACUCUGUCGCUCAGGCUGGGGUCCAGUGGCACGAUCUUGGCUCACUGCAACCUCCACCUCCUGGGUUAAAGCGAUUCUCCCACCUCAGCCUCCCAAGUAACUAGGAUUACAGGUACGUGCCACCAUGCCCGGCUAAUAUUUGUAUUUUUUGGUAGAGACGGAGUUUCACCAUGUUGGCCAGGCUGGUCUCGAACUCCUGACCUCUGGUGGUCCACCCACAUUGGCCUCCCAAAUUGCUGGGGUUACAGGUGUGAGCCACCGCACCCAGACUCAGAAGAGUUUUCUAUUAAUGACAUUUAUUGUUGUAGGGCCUUAGUUGGGCCUGAUACCAUAGAGUUGGCCAUAAAAAGGCUCUUCUUCCACUUGGACCUUGGUCCCACGCCCUAACUCUCUCUUUGCUCCCAAGAUUAAUGAGAAGAUUGAAUAGAACUGUGAAGGUGGAAGCCAGGGAUUUUUGAUAUCUUCAGGGAUCCUGAAGCUAAUCUCUCGAAUCUCAUGCAGAUUGGGAUUGGGAUAACUAUAAAUGACAAGCCCAGGAGUUCUGAGACAAGCCUGGAAAACAUAGUACGACCCCGUCUCUACAAAAAAUACAAAAAUUAGCUGGAUGUGGUGGUGUGCAUCUGUAGUCUCAGCUACUUGGGAGGCUGAGGUGGGAGGAUUGCUUGAGCCCGUGAGGUUGAGGCUGCAGUGAGCCAAGACUGCACCACUGCACCCCAGCCUGGGCAAUAGAGUGAGACCCCAUUAAAAGAAAAGAAAAGAAAAGAAAAGAAAAAGAACCCUGAAGGUGAGAGGCAGAUGCAAAAGGAAGCAGGGCAAAGAGGUUGGGGAAAUUGAAAAUGUUUAUGUCCUAAAAGUGGUCACGGAAGUUUCAGCUGAGCACUGGCUAUAUUCUUUUUGGAUGCCUGGAAUUCUUAAGACUUCACUUUAGCUUCAAGGAGCUUACAGUCUAGUUGGAAAGAGAGAUCAGAUACAUAAAUUAACAAUGCCAGACAGCCAUGGGGAGUACCCAUGGGAAUGGGCAUCUCAGGGAGUAGGAGUUUGGAAAGGAAGCAGGAAAGGUGGUAGUGAGAUGGGAAGAGUUAUGGGGGUGAAGAAAGGGGGAAGAGAACCCAUGGUCUGGAAUGCUGAAUAAACUGAAAUUUGCAGAAAAUAGUCAAGACCUGUGCUGUUGGGCAUAAUCAUCAUCAGGAAUAAAUGGCACCCAGGCAGAACACACUUUCAUUCUGUAAAUAUUUAAGUGCCUUCCAAGUGCAAGACACUGUGGCAGACACUGGGAGUUAAUAUUCAAGAUUGAAUGCAAGCCAAAAAAAAAAAAAAAAAAGAUGAGGGAAAAAUUCAAGACGACCUAGGUCUUUAUAAUGAGUUUAAGCUUUAAUUAGCUUAGUGAGUUUCAGUGUUCAGGCCCAUAAAAAUCAUAUCCUAAAUGAUCAAGUACCUUUGGGAAUGGGACUGUGGAAAUAUUCUUGGAAAUCUUUGAGGAACUAUGAAAAAUAGUGAAAGUAGUGGGAAAUGGACAGAUGUUUAUUUUUAAAUUUCUAUUUAUUUAUUUGUAGAGAUGAGGUCUUGAUAUAUUGCCCGGGCUGAUCUCAAACUGCUGGCCUGAAGCCAUCCUCCUGCCUUGGCCUCCCAAAGGGCUGGGAUUAUAGGCGUGAGCCACCGUGCCUGGCUGAUGUUUAGUUUUUAAGAUGAUAAUAUCUAACUUUUAUAGAGGACUCACCAUAUGUUAGGCACGGUUCUAAGCACUUCACAUACAUUAUCUCAUUUAAUCCUGACCACAUUAGGAAGUAGGUGUUAUUUUUUGUCCUCAUUUUUUAAUUGAGGAAAUAGACAGUUUGACACUUUGCUCAAGAUCAAACUACUAGCAUCUGCAAGAGCCAAGACAUAAGCUGUCUGAAUCAGAGGCCUUGCUGUUAAACAUGGUAGAUUCUAGAAUCUUCAGAGCAAGGAAUCUAACACCUGGCUAAUUUCUAGAAUGGAUGCCAGUCAUUUACUUGUCUGUGUUCAGAUUAAUCCUGCUGCCUCUUCCUGCAAACUGCACUUCCCAGGCUCUCUGGCCAAGUGACUUUGGGGUAGAUUCAGCCAGCAGGAGGCACUAGUGGGAGACUGGAGGGGAGGCAGGGAAGGAGGACCCAGGGCGGGCCCCAUCCCCUCUGCCUCAGCUUUGUCUUUAGCAGCAGCCGUGCAUCUUCCAUGGUUCUAGUUCCCACUGGGUAGCCUGGCUUCUUAGGUGCUGGUGACACCACCUCCUCCCUUUGUUCCUCCAGCUUCCUGCUGUUGCUUAUCUCUGGGCUACCUCACCAUCUCCUUUUGGACUUUUAGCAAUUUCAUCAUAUUUUUCUCGUUCUUUGUUACAUUUCUUCUACUGAAUUAACUGUUAUGGAUUGUUUACCUGACCAGAUUCUGACCCAUGGAGGUAAUCAUCACUAGUACCUGGCAUAGUUCACCAACUAGACACAUCAUUCUAAAAUCAUUCUUGGCUGGGGGUGGUGGCUCAUGCCGGUAAUCCCAACACUAUGGGAGGCUGAGGUGGGAGGAUUGCUCGAGCCCGGGAGUUUGAGACCAGCCUGGACAACAUAAGGAGACCCCAUCUUUACAAAAAAUAAAAAUAAAUUAUCCAGGCAUGGUGGCACAUGCCUGUGAUCUCAGCUACUUGGGAAGCUGAGGUGGGAGGAUCACUUGAACCAAGGAGGUCGAGGUUACAGAGAGCUGUGAUCCCACCACCUUACUCUAGCCUGGGUGCAUUCCCCAUCUCAAAAAGAAAAAAGUUAAUUAAUUAAAAAUAAAAAUCGACUGGGCGCGGUGGCUCACGCCUGUAAUCCCAGCACUUUGGGAGGCCGAGGCAGGCAGAUCAUGAGGUCAGGAGUUCAAGACCAGCCUGGCCAACAUGGUGAAUCUCCCGUCUCUACUAAAAAUAUAAAAAUUAGCUGGCCAGGUGCGGUGGAUCAUGCCUGUAAUCCCAGCAAUUUGGGAGGCCAAGGUGGGCGGAUCACUUGAGGUCAGGAGUUCAAGACCUGCUUGGCCAGCAUGGUGAAACCCUGUCUCUACUAAAAAUACAAAAAAAUUAGCCAGGCAUGGUGGCGGGCACCUGUAAUUCCAGCUACUCGGGAGGCUGAGGCAGGAGAAUCGCUUAAACCCGGGAGGCAGAGUUUGUGGUGAGCUGAGAUCAUGCCAUUGCACCCCAGCCUGGGUGACAAGAGUGAAACUCCGUCUCAAAAAAAUAAAUAAAUAAAAUACAGGCCGGGCGUGGUGGCUCACGGCUGUAAUCCCAGCACUUUGGGAGGCUGAGGUGGGUGGAUCACCUGAGGUCAGGAGUUUGAGACCAGCCUGGCCAACAUGGUGAAAUCCCGUCUCUACUAAAAAUACAAAAAUUAGCUGGGUGUGGUGGCGGGUGCCUGUAAUCCUAGCUACUUGGGAGGCUGAGGCAUGAGAAUCGCUUGAACCCGGGAGGCGGAGGUUGCAGUGAGCUGAGAUCACGCCGCUGCACUCCAGCCUGGCGACAGAGUGAGACUUUGUUUCAAAAUAAACAAACUAACACACAAACAAAACCAAAAAUCAGCUGGGUGUGGUGGCGGGCACCUGUAGUCCCAGCUACUCGGGAGGCUGAGGCAGGAGAACUGCUUGAACCUGGGAGGCGGAGGUUGCAGUGAGCCAAGAUCACGCCAUUGCACUCCAACCUGGGCAACAGAGCAAGACUCCAUCUCAAAAAAAUAAAUAAAUAAAUAAAAAGUAAAAAAUAAAUAAAAGUACAAAUCAAUUUCUUUUUUGGGAGUAUUACUUAGUACCAUAAACAUAGACUAUCUAGAUUUAAGCCAAUAGGAAAAUAUGGGCUGAAUGAUAAUACGAUUAGUACCCUCAAGUUGAAAUAGGUAUUCAUAAUGCACACAUCAAAACUGAUGUCAAUCUGCAGAGUCCCAGUCAACAUAUACAAAAAUUAAUUAAGGCCGGGCACAGUGGCUUACGCCUGUAAUCCCAACACUUUGGGAGGCUGAGGUGGGCAGAUUGCUCGAGCUCAGGAAUUUGAGACCAGCCUAUACAAAAUGGUGAAACCCAAUCUCUACAAAACAUACAAAAAUUAGCCACUGCUCUCCAGACUGGGUGACAGAGUAAGACCUUGUUUUAAAAAAAAAAACAAAAUUAUAUGAAGAUGUAGAAUAAGAGUUAAUUAGAUUUUAAGAUGACAUGAAUUGGAAUUGGGAGCUAGAAGACAAAAUAAGGAAUCUAAAGAUUUUGACAACCUAGGAUGAUGGAUCUGAGAGAUCUACGAUGACAGAGGAGAUAAAAAUGCAAAAUUCAGGCUGGGCGCGAUGGCUCACACUUGUAAUCCCAGCACUUUGGGAGGCUGAGGUGGGCGGAUCAUGAGGUCAGGAGAUCGAGACCAUCCUGGCUAACAAGGUGAAACCCCGUCUCUACUAAAAAUACAAAAAUUAGCUGGGCGUGGUGGUGGGUGCCUAUAGUCCCAGCUACUCAGGAGGCUGAGGCAGGAGAAUGGCAUGAACCCAGGAGGCAGAGCUUGCAGUGAGCCGAAAUGGCACCACUGCACUCCAGCCUGGGCAACAGAGCGAGACUCUGCCUCAAAAAAAAAAAAAAAAAAAAAUUGCAAAAUCCUACAACUUAGGUUAAAAACACCAACUUACAGAAAGGACAGGUAGCUUAAUUAUUGUUUAUGUAAAGAGGAAUUAAGCCCAGAAACUUGGGAGGCUAAGGUGGGAGAAUUUCUUGAGCCCAGAAGUUUGAGUCCAGCCAGGGCAACAUAGCAAGACCCCUUCUUUAAAAAUAAAAACUAGGAGCCUGGCACGGUGGCUCACACCUGUAAUCCCAGUGCUUUAGGAGGCUGAGGCAGGUGGAUCACUUAAGGUCCAGAGCUCAAGACCAGCCUGGUCAACAUGGUGAAACCCCGUUUCUACUAAAAAUACAAAAAUGAACCAGGUGUGGUGGCGUGUGCCUGUAAUCCCAGCUACUUGGGAGGCUGAGGCAGGAGAAUUGCUUGAACCUGGGAGGCGGAGGUUGCAGUGAGCUGAGAUCGCGCCAUUGCACUCCAGCCUGGACAACAAGAGUGAAACUCCGUCUCAAAAAUUAAUAAAAUAAAAUAAAAUAAAAUAAUAAAAACUAGGGGCCAGGCACAGUGGCUCAUGCCUGUAAUCCCAGCACUUUGGGAGGCCAAGGUCAGAGGACUGCCUGAAGACAGGAGUUUGAGACCAGCUUAGGCAAUAUAGCAAGACCCUGUUUCUACAAAAAAUAAAAAUACAAAUAAAUUUAAUUGACAGAUUAGAGAUUUCUGCUGGUGCUGAAUGAAUUAGCAUGGCGUGGUUGCAUAAAAGCUAACAUAUUAGAGAAGCAGAACUGGCCAGUACUGCCAUUUAUCAGGUGAAUGAACUUGGCAAGUUUUUACUUUUCUAUGCCCAAUUUUCUCCAUGUAUAAAGUAAGGAUGAUGCUAAUAUUAGUGUUUUAGUUAUCUAUUGCUGCAUAGCAAAUUGCCCCAAAACUUAGGGCUUAAAACAGUGACCAUUUAUUUUCUCACAGGUUUUGUGUGUCAGUAAUUCAGAAGUAACUUAGCUGGGUGAUUCCGACUUGGUGUUUCUCAUGAAGGUGCAGUCAUCUGAAGACUUGACUGGGGCUGAAGGAUCCAUUUCCAAGAUGGCUCACUUAUGUGCCUGGCAAGUAGGUAUUGGCUGUUGGCAGGAGGCCUCAGUUCCUCCCCAUAUGGGCAUCUCUAUAAGCUGUUUGAGUGUCCUCAUAACAUGGCAGCUGGCUUCCCCUAGAAUGGGCAAUGUAAGAGAGAGCAAGGUGGAAGUCACAAUGCUUUUAACACUCAGUCUCAGAAAGCACACCCCAUCAUUUCUGCAAUAUCCCUUAGUAACACAGGUCUGCCCUAUGCAUUGUAGGAGGAGAUUACACAAAAGCACAAAUAUUGACAGGUAAAGAUCAUUGAGGUCCAUCCUGAAGGCUGGCUAUGCUAGUCUACACUAGUCUACACUCUGGCUCCCAAAGGUUCAUGUCCUUCACAAAUGCAAAUCUGUUCAACCCUCCCAAGGGACUCAAAAGUCUCAUCCCAUUACAAAAUCAGCUUGAAGUCCAGAAUCUUGUCAUCUAAAACAGGCCUCCAGGUGAGGUUCUUCUGGACUAAUUCCUAUGUACAGCUCCUUGAGUAGCUCUUCUUGAUCUGAAGACCUAUGAACUAAAAAGAGAACUCAUAUUCCCUGUCCUACUCCUCCAUCACCAACAUACAAUGAUGAGAUGUGGGAAAAGCAUAGGAUUACCUCUACAAAUAUUUCUAUUCACAAAAAGAGAGAGGUCUGCCGGGCAUGAUGGCUCACACCUGUAAUCCCAGAACUUUGGGAGGCCAAGGCAGACGGAUCACCUGAGGUCAGAAGUUCGAGACCAGCCUGACCAACAUGGAGAAACCC
rnacentral:lncRNA from 1 species